GCAGUCGAGCGGCAGCACAGAGGAACUUGUUCCUUGGGUGGCGAGCGGCGGACUCGAUUAAGGAUGCCUGGGAAAUUGCCCGGUAGAGGGGGAUAACCCUUGGAAACGAUGGCUAAUACCGCAUAACCUCGCAAGAGCAAAGCAGGGGACCUUCGGGCCUUGCGCUACCGGAUAUGCCCAGGUGGGAUUAGCUAGUUGGUGAGGUAAGGGCUCACCAAGGCAACGAUCCCUAGCUGGUCUGAGAGGAUGAUCAGCCACACUGGAACUGAGACACGGUCCAGACUCCUACGGGAGGCACCAGUGGGGAAUAUUGCACAAUGGGCGCAAGCCUGAUGCAGCCAUGCCGCGUGUAUGAAGAAGGCCUUCGGGUUGUAAAGUACUUUCAGUAGGGAGGAAGGUGGUUAAGUUAAUACCUUAAUCAUUUGACGUUACCUACAGAAGAAGCACCGGCUAACUCCGUGCCAGCAGCCGCGGUAAUACGGAGGGUGCAAGCGCUAAUCGGAAUUACUGGGCGUAAAGCGCAUGCAGGUGGUUUGUUAAGUCAGAUGUGAAAGCCCUGGGCUCAACCUAGGAAUCGCAUUUGAAACUGACAAGCUAGAGUACUGUAGAGGGGGGUAGAAUUUCAGGUGUAGCGGUGAAAUGCGUAGAGAUCUGAAGGAAUACCGGUGGCGAAGGCGGCCCCCUGGACAGAUACUGACACUCAGAUGCGAAAGCGUGGGGAGCAAACAGGAUUAGAUACCCUGGUAGUCCACGCCGUANACGAUGUCUACUUGGAGGUUGUGCCCUAGAGGCGUGGCUUUCGGAGCUAACGCGUUAAGUAGACCGCCUGGGGAGUACGGUCGCAAGAUUAAAACUCAAAUGAAUUGACGGGG
rnacentral:rRNA from 1 species